GAAGCCAUUGGAUAGCUCAGGCUGAGAGAGGGCGCUGUGCUCCGCAAGCCUCCCUGCAACCGCAAGCCUCGGGCCGCCUUCCUCCAGGAAGACGCUCCAGACCUCUGGUAUCCGUUGAGAUCUAGUUUCCCUUGAGACGCUGCAAAGAGCAUCGUCCUUGAGCAUUUCUCCUCUCCCCAAGACCCUCCGAAGGAAGGAUGAGCGGACGGAAGAUUCACACCGAAGUGGUCAAGCGCCCAGAUCCCCGGCUUCCCCGGGAGCAUUUCCCAAGUUUCUUUCAUGGGGCACCGGCCACAGUUUUCCUUUAGUGCCUACUCCACCUGCUGUCGUUGUUGGGUAAGCGAACAUCGCCCUCCUGUACCACCCAGUCAAUAAAUGGGCGGUCCUGGAGGACCUCACCCGCCGCUCACCCCCCUCCCAACCUCGCGGCCAUCGCCUCCUGUCGCCUCUUCCGAAGGCCUAAGAAGCAUGUUAGCUGCGAACUGAGGUGAGGAGGCUCAGCUGACCGCCUGUGUCAGCUGACAACGUGUGCCACGCACAAACGCCACGACUUGGCUUGGCCUCUCUCUCUCUUAGUUAUUUGCAGCUCAGCCCAAUCGGCGCCUCUGGGAUGGCGGAGGCGGCAAAGAUGGUGGGCUUCUUGGGUACACCUCCAGGAGAGCUGGCAUCUCUGCACGGUGGUGUACACCUGAGCGAGACGCUCAGUCGCUCUCUAAAGCCCCUUCUGCGAAUGAUGGACACGGAGAUAAAUAAGAGGGUGUGUCAUGAGAGGCCGUCCACCAGGACUUGCCCUCCUUCGCCAGGGUUUGCACCUUGCAGGGAGACUGUUCUGCCUCUGGCUCUUGGAGCAGGCCGGCUGACAGCGGAGUAAAGAAAGAUUACUGCGGGUGGGCAGUCAGUGCAAAACAACUCCCUGACCAGUAAUCGAAGCCAGGAUGCGGUGGUGAAAUGACUGAAUCACAGCCACUACACCAGCACGGGGUCACGGGAGAGUCUUUCUCAACCUUAUUGCCAUUUAAGUGACUGUUUCUGAGUGCGCUGGGAGGACUUGGGCCUUGUGGGGGUCGCUGGUCGCUCCUGGAGUCGUCUCACAAGGCCUUUCCCUCCCUCCUUUCUCCAAAAGAGGAGCCCGCAGGCGACACACCCAGCACUCUGCGAGGCCCACCCAGGCCCCGAGUCCCGAGUCCUGGAGCGAGUUGCAGUGCCCUGGCUGCAGCUGACCACUGACCUAGAGAUGUGCCUUUGCGAAGGGGCAGCGCAUGGAGAAACAGUAGCCGGUCGCCGAGGCUAGAGCCGCCCACCGGGUAGCCAGGAGCAGGCCGGAGCGAGGAGGCUCCCGGGGUGAGACCGGGGCACCCUGAACAUCAUAAAGGACUCAGACCUUGGCAUUCCCGACGUCAUAAAGGACUCACAGGGAUGCGGAAACCGAGACGGGCUGGAUGGAAAACUCUUUCCAGACAGGCUCCGGGGCCCUCAACUGGUCUCCGACCUUCCCCUUCAACCUGCGACACCUGCCAUUUUCCCAUCUUAGGCUCCAGAAGCAGAAUCAAGUGGGAUGUCUUGGAAGAAAAACAAACAAAAGGCCCACUAGGUGGAGUGAAAUGGAUCAGGAGCAAUUAUGUUCAAUUUCACCUUUAAGUUUUCUCAAAAGGAGGAGCAUUAAGAAUCAGCCACCUUAGUACAUACUUAAAGAUUUACUGAAACCUGAUCCUGUCCCCGCUGAUGAAACGUCAGAGGAAUGGGAUCCUGUAGGUGAAGAUCAUCAGCUUAUAAAAUCCUGUUGCCAUCAAUGGGGGUAGCAGGAAAAUGAUGAAGAUUGGUUAAGGGGCCAGUAGACUCAGCAUUGAAAUGAAUCAUGGACUUGAAGCCAAAAGACUCAGUUUGUGUCCCAGCUCUCUCAAGCAAAGCCCCCAAGUCCCAGUUUCCUCAUCUAUAAAAAAUAAUAAAAAUACUUACUGGACAAAGUUGUGUGGGAAUCAAAUGAGAUAAAGUAUGCUCUGCAUAUACCCUAAAGUCUUAUUUAAAUAAAGGCAUUCUUUUCAUCUGAGAAAUUGAAGAAAAAGAUGCCCUGAACAAGAAAGACAGGAGAAAAGAUUUUUUUUUUUAAAUGAAGGAUAAAAUGAUGAAAUCCCCCCAGGUAUUCCUACAGAAAGGCCUUACCCACGAGCUGUAGGCAUAUAUCCGGUCCUAAGGUCCAUUUUGGAGUAGCCCAGCACUCAGUCUGAAAGAUUGGACACUGAGAAAUAUGUGCAUCCCAUUUUUCUAACUAGCAGCAUUUUGAUCCUGUCUUCUUAUCCAUACCCAGGCUAGCGCACAUGAUUUUUUCUGCUUGCACUUCAGGAGAAAUAGGCAUUGGACAAAAGGUGGAUCAUUCUCACGUUGACCAAGUUUCUGUUCCAGUAUCACCCUCCCAGAUAGGCCUUUAUUCACUCUAAAUAGAUCACACUGUCUAAAAUAGCUACCUUUCCUGCACACAGUCUCUUACUAUGCCAUUUACUGUCAAAGCUCUUCUCACUCCCUGAUAUGAUUUUGCAUGUUGAUUUGCUUGUUCAUUGCAUGUUCCCUCACUACAAUAUAAAUGCCUUGCCAGUUUUGAUCACUACCAUAUCCCUAAGGCCUAAGAAUGUUCAGUACAUACUAGGUGCUCAAUAAGUACCUUUUUUUUUAUAAGUGAAUGAAUGAAUUCUAUUCUUGUCUUAUUCCAUUGACAUUUUCCUGUCUUAGCUGCCUUGGACAGCUCUGAAAGUUCUUCUGCUAUUUUGUACACUAUUGUCUUUCUCUGUCAUUUGAAUCUUUUCCUUACUUAGUUUGGGUUCCUCCAAUAGUAGAGCUUGAGAAAAAGGUUUGGAUACCAGUAGUGUAUUUAGAAGGUGAUCCCAGGAUUGGAGAGAACAGGGAGAGUAAGAAGAGAAACAAAGAAGAACCAACAAAAAAGUGCCUUUCCUGGGUUGCUGAUGUGGGCAGCAGGCACUCAAUUUCAUCUGAGUUUCCUGAGAGAUGUGCAGAAUACCUCCCAAAAUACAGAAGAUGGAACAUUAAUUCACACAAACUGAAAAGUUUGAAAAAAAAAUUAGUCUUUGCCCUUGAGAAAACUUUACUCUGAGUGAAAAUGAAAACAAGAAAUGCUUGUGACUUAUUCAUUGUGUCAAAGGGAAUUAAAUUUUAUUGAGUGCCAAACAUGAGCCAGGGACUGUACCUGGCAAAUUAUAUAUAUUGUCUUAUUUCAUUACGGCAACAGGAGCUGCCAUAUAUCAGGCAGCUACAAUUUAACCAGGUUCUUCACAUGCAUGCUCUCACCAGUUCUUACAACUAGUCAAUAUGAGUUUUUAUUUCCAUUUAAGAGAUGAGAAAAGUUGAGACUUGGGGAAAAGAAAUAGCUUGGCCUAGGUAACACCAUCAAUUCAUAGCAGAUCUUUCUGACUCUAUAGCUUGUCCUACAGAGAAACAAUUACAUGUAAGGAAAAUAAAAGGCAAUAUAAAUUUAAGUGAGUGACUACAUGACACUUUCUUGUGAAGAGUUAUAAGAAUUCAGAGAACGCAAUGUACAACAUGAGGACCAUCGUCAAUAAUAUUAUAUUGUACACUGGAAAUUUGCUAAGAUAGUAGAUUUUAGGUACUUGUACUGUAAAAAAAGAAAGGUAACUAUGUGAGAUGGUGAAUAUGUUAACUUGCUUGACUGUAGUAAUCAUUUCACUAUACAUACAUACAUCAAAACAUCAUAUUGUAUACUUUAAAUUUAUAUGAUAUAAUAAUAUAAAAAAAAUAGAAUUCAGAGAAGUGAAUGACUGUUGUGAGCUACAUUUAAAUUUAACAAGAUUUUAUUAAGAAAAUUAGGUUUUUUUAAAUUUUUAAGAGAAAAGUGGGGAGGAGAAAAUGGAUUCCCCUAGGCCAAGGAAACAGCUGGAGAGAAAGGCAUGAAGAUGAGGUAACUGGCUUCAUGGAACCUGAAUUAUUUUUCAUCAAAGAGCUCAACCCCCCAUAUUAUCUUUCAUAAAUAAGUAGUGUGCCAUGGAAUUAUGGAACAUGAAAGGUAUGGAUUUAGAACAUGAUCUAGGUUAAAGAAAAAAGAGGAAGAAAACUAAAAGAAAGAAGAAAAUCCAGAUUGUUGGGAUGAUUCUGAGGCCCUAGAACCUUAGAAACUCUAAACUCUUUCAAAGUGUAUUUGAAGAGACAUAUAUUCAGUGUGUGCAGUCUGACAACAGUGGAAUGCCAAUAACAUUUAAUUUCCUGGACUUCUAAACUUCUUAACCUGUUGUGCUGCUGGAAUGGGACUGUAAAUCAAAAUAUGCUAAAUUGUAUGGGGAACAUGUGUAUUUAGUAAUUCCAAACUGCCCAGUGAUUUUUUAAAACACUCCUCACAAUAGUAUUUAUGCUGGUCUUGUUUUUCAUAAGUCUUUCUUCUCAACCAUGCUGCAACUGGUUAAUAUAGGCAUCAAACACAGCACACAAGAAGGAAGAACGCAGAAAAGAAAUUCAGAAAUGGAUGAGAAAGGCCAAAGUAUCCCUGACAUCUCUCCCAUCCCAACUGUUCUAAAUGUUCUUCCAUUUUCAAACACUACAACAACAACAAAAAAUUGGAAUAUUGCUUUGGGUCUAGUAAAUCAUUAGCAAAUUAAGAACCUGUUUUUAAUAACAUUUAACUUGUAAAUGAUGCAUUAAUUGACUAGCCUGAAUGUUAGUUUGAGCAUUUGAAACUCUGCUACUAAAUUUGUAAUGAAAGAAAUGUGCUGCAACAGUAGGCUAUAUGGUGAAUAUAACAGAUUAAAUAUGACAGUUGAUAUUUGUGAAAAUGGGGUUAUAAUUAGAGGACACCUGCAGCUCUUUUCCAACCAAAACAACAGAAAUUAAACUUGCAUAAAUUGUG